UAGCGGAGGAAAAGAAACCAACAGGGAUUCCCCUAGUAACGGCGAGUGAAGCGGGAACAGCUCAAAUUUGAAAUCUGGCCCUCGGGUCCGAGUUGUAAUUUGUAGAGGAUGCUUUUGGUGCGGUGCCUUCCGAGUUCCCUGGAACGGGACGCCUUAGAGGGUGAGAGCCCCGUACGGUUGGACGCCUAGCCUCUGUAAAGCUCCUUCGACGAGUCGAGUAGUUUGGGAAUGCUGCUCUAAAUGGGAGGUAUAUUUCUUCUAAAGCUAAAUACUGGCCAGAGACCGAUAGCGCACAAGUAGAGUGAUCGAAAGAUGAAAAGCACUUUGAAAAGAGGGUUAAAUAGCACGUGAAAUUGUUGAAAGGGAAGCGUUUAUCACCAGACUUUUUCUAGGGGGAUCAUCCGGUGUUCUCACCGGUGCACUUCCCCUGGUUGAGGCCAGCAUCGGUUUUCGGAGGGGGAUAAAAGCUUCGGGAAUGUGACUCCCUCGGGAGUGUUAUAGCCCGUUGCAUAAUACCCUUCU
rnacentral:rRNA from 1 species